UGGGGAAUUUUGGACAAUGGGCGAAAGCCUGAUCCAGCAAUGCCGCGUGUGUGAAGAAGGCCUUCGGGUUGUAAAGCACUUUUGUCCGGAAAGAAAUCCUUGGCUCUAAUACAGUCGGGGGAUGACGGUACCGGAAGAAUAAGCACCGGCUAACUACGUGCCAGCAGCCGCGGUAAUACGUAGGGUGCAAGCGUUAAUCGGAAUUACUGGGCGUAAAGCGUGCGCAGGCGGUUUGCUAAGACCGAUGUGAGAUCCCCGGGCUCAACCUGGGAACUGCAUUGGUGACUGGCAGGCUAGAGUAUGGCAGAGGGGGGUAGAAUUCCACGUGUAGCAGUGAAAUGCGUAGAGAUGUGGAGGAAUACCGAUGGCGAAGGCAGCCCCCUGGGCCAAUACUGACGCUCAUGCACGAAAAGCGUGGGGGAGCAAAACAGGAUUAGAUACCCUGGUAGUCCACGCCCUAAAACGAUGUCAACUAGUUGUUGGGGAUUCAUUUCCUUAGUAACGUAGCUAACGCGUGAAGUUGACCGCCUGGGGAGUACGGUCG
rnacentral:rRNA from 1 species